rnacentral:lncRNA from 1 species
UUAAGACUUAUUUGUUUAUGAUUCCGCACAGAUGUUUAAGGUUAGUUUAACCUGGGAUUAUGUUUAUGAUUCAGAUGUUGUAACCCUUUAAAGGGAAGAUUUUAUUUCUAUCUAUUGCAUGGUUUGCAUUGAUUAUGGGUAGAUAGAUAGAUGAUAAUUGUACAGUGAACACCAAAUCUCAUGGAGUCGAAGUACCCGGAUUUGGGGGUGUCACACUUACAAUACUGGGUAUCAAAUUUUCGUGCUAUGUUUACGAAAGACAAGGGACGAAAUUAUGAAGUGUACUCUCUCUAUAUAUGUAGAUAUAUACUUUGAUUAAAGAACUGUGGUAGCUUUAGAUGGUUAAUUGUAAAGAUAAUGAAUGAUUAUAUAGUGG